rnacentral:lncRNA from 1 species
CUUGCGGCUUCCGUGGACGGUUCCACUAAGGGAUUAUGGAAAAUGGCGGUUACCUUUUCGACGAUCUCAAAAAAUGCUGCAUGAUUGGGUACUGUGGCCCCACCAACCACUUUCAGAAAUUCCCCUGGAUAAGGGAAAGAGGAAGUUUGUCCCAUCCACUCAUCUUAUGAGUUUCCAAGUUACCUAAUUUUCCUGCAGUGGUGCUAAGCUGACCUGCCACAGGUACAAGUGUAACUUUUUAUCAUGGAUCUGAAUGCAGUUAAAUCCAGCUCCAUUUAGGAAAGGGGAAAAGAUGAGAUCUGUACCCCAGGUGGGUGCUAUAGAUUGCC